rnacentral:rRNA from 1 species
GUUUGAUCCUGGCUCAGGAUGAACGCUAGCGACAGGCUUAACACAUGCAAGUCGAGGGGCAGCACAGGUAGCAAUACCGGGUGGCGACCGGCGCACGGGUGAGUAACGCGUAUGCAACUUGCCUAUCAGAGGGGGAUAACCCGGCGAAAGUCGGACUAAUACCGCAUGAAGCAGGGGCCCCGCAUGGGGAUAUUUGCUAAAGAUUCAUCGCUGAUAGAUAGGCAUGCGUUCCAUUAGGCAGUUGGCGGGGUAACGGCCCACCAAACCGACGAUGGAUAGGGGUUCUGAGAGGAAGGUCCCCCACAUUGGUACUGAGACACGGACCAAACUCCUACGGGAGGCAGCAGUGAGGAAUAUUGGUCAAUGGACGCAAGUCUGAACCAGCCAUGCCGCGUGCAGGAUGACGGCUCUAUGAGUUGUAAACUGCUUUUGUACGAGGGUAAACCCGAAUACGUGUAUUCGGCUGAAAGUAUCGUACGAAUAAGGAUCGGCUAACUCCGUGCCAGCAGCCGCGGUAAUACGGAGGAUCCAAGCGUUAUCCGGAUUUAUUGGGUUUAAAGGGUGCGUAGGCGGUCAGAUAAGUUAGAGGUGAAAUUCCGGUGCUUAACACCGGCGCUGCCUCUAAUACUGUUUGACUAGAGAGUAGUUGCGGUAGGCGGAAUGUAUGGUGUAGCGGUGAAAUGCUUAGAGAUCAUACAGAACACCGAUUGCGAAGGCAGCUUACCAAACUAUAUCUGACGUUGAGGCACGAAAGCGUGGGGAGCAAACAGGAUUAGAUACCCUGGUAGUCCACGCAGUAAACGAUGAUAACUCGUUGUCGGCGAUACAAUGUCGGUGACUAAGCGAAAGCGAUAAGUUAUCCACCUGGGGAGUACGUUCGCAAGAAUGAAACUCAAAGGAAUUGACGGGGGCCCGCACAAGCGGAGGAACAUGUG